AGAGUUUGAUCCUGGCUCAGAUUGAACGCUGGCGGCAUGCUUUACACAUGCAAGUCGGACGGCAGCACAGGGAAGCUUGCUUCUCGGGUGGCGAGUGGCGAACGGGUGAGUAACAUAUCGGAACGUACCGGGUAGCGGGGGAUAACUGAUCGAAAGAUCAGCUAAUACCGCAUACGUCUUGAGAGGGAAAGCAGGGGACCUUCGGGCCUUGCGCUAUCCGAGCGGCCGAUAUCUGAUUAGCUGGUUGGCGGGGUAAAGGCCCACCAAGGCGACGAUCAGUAGCGGGUCUGAGAGGAUGAUCCGCCACACUGGGACUGAGACACGGCCCAGACUCCUACGGGAGGCAGCAGUGGGGAAUUUUGGACAAUGGGCGCAAGCCUGAUCCAGCCAUGCCGCGUGUCUGAAGAAGGCCUUCGGGUUGUAAAGGACUUUUGUCAGGGAAGAAAAGGCCGUUGCCAAUAUCGGCGGCCGAUGACGGUACCUGAAGAAUAAGCACCGGCUAACUACGUGCCAGCAGCCGCGGUAAUACGUAGGGUGCGAGCGUUAAUCGGAAUUACUGGGCGUAAAGCGGGCGCAGACGGUUACUUAAGCAGGAUGUGAAAUCCCCGGGCUCAACCCGGGAACUGCGUUCUGAACUGGGUGACUCGAGUGUGUCAGAGGGAGGUGGAAUUCCACGUGUAGCAGUGAAAUGCGUAGAGAUGUGGAGGAAUACCGAUGGCGAAGGCAGCCUCCUGGGAUAACACUGACGUUCAUGUCCGAAAGCGUGGGUAGCAAACAGGAUUAGAUACCCUGGUAGUCCACGCCCUAAACGAUGUCAAUUAGCUGUUGGGCAACUUGAUUGCUUGGUAGCGUAGCUAACGCGUGAAAUUGACCGCCUGGGGAGUACGGUCGCAAGAUUAAAACUCAAAGGAAUUGACGGGGACCCGCACAAGCGGUGGAUGAUGUGGAUUAAUUCGAUGCAACGCGAAGAACCUUACCUGGUUUUGACAUGUGCGGAAUCCUCCGGAGACGGAGGAGUGCCUUCGGGAGCCGUAACACAGGUGCUGCAUGGCUGUCGUCAGCUCGUGUCGUGAGAUGUUGGGUUAAGUCCCGCAACGAGCGCAACCCUUGUCAUUAGUUGCCAUCAUUCGGUUGGGCACUCUAAUGAGACUGCCGGUGACAAGCCGGAGGAAGGUGGGGAUGACGUCAAGUCCUCNGGACGCGGGCGGUUUUACCCGUUGCCGCAUCAACCGUUCCAAGGAAUUUGCAGACCGUCGGAACCACAUUAACGGCAUUGGGAACUUUUGGAAUCAGGCAAAACGCGCCUUGCGAAAAUACAACGGAAUCGAUCGUAAACCUUUCCCGCCGUUGUUGAGGGAAUGCGAAUUUCGAUUUAACUUCGGCACACCGUCCCGGCAGCUAAAAAUCCUGCGGGAUCGGUG
rnacentral:rRNA from 1 species